GCAAAAACUUAGCCAUCUUCUCUGGCAUCGCAAGAAGCAAAAUAAAACAAUUCCCAGACACCGAGCAAGUCAAUAGCGGGGCCAACAACGGUAAACUAUUCGCAGAAGGCACCAGUCCCUGAUGGGGAAAGAUCCACACAGAUUUCCGGCAUCUUUAACUGUCUUUGAUUUUCCAUUCUGAACAAAGAUAUUCAACCUGGAACAUCAGCUCUGUUUCUCUUCCCACAGGCUGACCUGCUAAAUAUUUAAAACAUCUUCAAUCUUAACUAAAUUCAUAGAGUCAUUCAGUACAGAAAAAGACCCCUGGGCUCAUCAAGUCUAUGCCAGCCAUUGACACCAAUCCUGUUGUACUGUAUUACUACCGUCCCCUUUGCUGAUUACAAGAUAGAAAUAAAUGUGUAAUGAAACUCUCCUGCAACAGCGCUCUACUUCCCAUCAUCCGAUCAAUGGCAAUUGUGCUGUUCCUGUCAGAUAAUGGCAUUAAACCAUCAUGCUGCUUGGCUGAUGAAGAAAUGUAACACGCCUGUUAUUCCAACUCACGCUGGUUAAACCUGAGGAACGGACACAUCCUUUCUUCAAUAAGAUGGUGCUGAUGAACCUCUGCAACUUCUGGCUGGUGGCUAACGAAACAAGGAUAAAAACUAAAUACUUAGUUAACCACACUUUUUCUGGCAAAUGAUCAUUGCAAGUAAUAGUCUGUAACUUUGGAUUUGGAGGCAAUUUUAAGAGGCAGAACUGAGACAAGUGAAGGGACCUGUUCACCUAAACUGCAUUGAGUGAUUUGCCUGCCACAAGAGGGCAUUACAAUUCAAUCACUUGGAGUCCAAAUGACCAUUGACCGACUGCCACAAUGAAGAUCAUUAAUGAUCCAGUUUUGUUUUAUGUUGUCAACCAAAUUUGUUGUAUGUAACCUUACAGUUUGUUUGCGCUAACUGAACCCACCAUCCCAAAAGAAUCUGAGAACGAUACAACUUGGAUUGUUUGUUGAUAUCAAAACUUUGUAAUAGAGAAAUAAAAUCUGGCUCCAUUAAAAGUGUCACCUACCUGUCAUGAAUCAACUGCAGUGUCAACAUUUGAAAAGACAUUUCAUUUCCAAUUUCAAGCAACUUCAGAGAAAAUGUCACUGUAAA